AAAACUGCUGUUUAUUCUCAACGCCCCACCCCUACCCAACCCCUCAAAGGAUUUUUUUUAUUCCAGGUCAUGAGAAAGCGAACGAGUUACAUGCAAUAUUGGACUGAGGUUGCUCCAUCCCCUUUGAUAUUUCCUUAUAAGCCUUCGAAUGCACCGAAUCUCGAAACGAUUGAAGAAGAAGGAUCUGAUCAAAAGAUGGAUUUCGUGAACAAGAGGGUGUUUAAUUUUCUUCUUCCCGUCUUCAUUUCUUUGGCUUCCUAUCUUUUGAUAAAUAGAUGUAAUGUCAUUAUAUGAUAUGAAGAAAGUAAAGAAAAGUUUUAAAUCUCAUCCCGUUGUUAGAAUAUUGAAUACUCUUUCC
rnacentral:lncRNA from 1 species